UACGUAGGGUGCGAGCGUUGUCCGGAAUUAUUGGGCGUAAAGGGCGCGUAGGCGGUUUGUUGCGUCGGGAGUGAAAACAUCCAGCUUAACUGGGUGCUUGCUUUCGAUACGGGCAGACUUGAGGUAUGCAGGGGAGAAUGGAAUUCCUGGUGUAGCGGUGAAAUGCGCAGAUAUCAGGAGGAACACCGGUGGCGAAGGCGGCUCACUGGGUCUCAACUAACGCUGAUGCACGAAAGCGAGGGUAGCGAACGGG
rnacentral:rRNA from 1 species